rnacentral:rRNA from 1 species
GUUCACUAGGCAAUGUGGUGUUCAGGUUGUUCCGCAAAGGUACUGCUCCACCCUAAGUCCAUAAAUGAGUACGGUGGUACGGACAUGGCCCACAGAGGGUGAAAGGCCCGUGGGGGUGGAGACCAGGUAGGCCAGUAUCUUUCUGGAUAGACCUUGGAGUCGGGUUGUUUGUGAAUGCAGCCCAAAGUGGGUGGUAAACUCCAUCCAAGGCUAAAUACAAGCACGAGUCCGAUAGCGAACAAGUACCGUGAGGGAAAGUUGAAAAGUACUUUGAAGAGAGAGUAAACAGUGCGUGAAACCGGUCAGAGGUAAACGGGUGGAGUUGAACUGCAAGCUCUGGGAAUUCAGCUGGUGAGUGUGGCUGGAGCUUGGCUAAUAUGUUGAGCCCUGGAGUCUGCGUAGCAGCAGGCCUUUGCCCCUUGUGGGUGAGGGUGCGCGAUGCACUUACCAAGUGUUGUGCGCUCUGGGUGUUCAUCGAGCUGACUCGCCAGUGCACUUUCUCAGAGUGGUCAUCACGACCGGCACCGCUGUCUGGCUGGUGUGGUUAAACCGAUCUCGUAUUGUCCUUGUGGCUCUGCUUGGUCGGGAUGGCAGGUAGCUCGGUGAUUUGCCUGUGAUCUUCGGUCGCGGGCGCUGGUCAUUGAGUGUAACUGGCUGACCACAUUGGUUCUGUGCAGUGUGUCGGAGACGGCGGCUUUUGUGUGUGCGCGCGUGCCUGUCUGGCCGGCGUGUCCGGGUUUGGUCGUUUGUGCCUGUUCACGCAGGCCUGGCGAUGGCUCGGGUUCGUUCGGUUGGCGGUUGCGUGCGUGGCACA